rnacentral:rRNA from 2 species
CCUGACCUCGAUUCAAGCG